rnacentral:rRNA from 1 species
CCUACGGGAGGCAGCAGUGGGGAAUAUUGGACAAUGGGCGAAAGCCUGAUCCAGCAAUUCCGCGUGUGUGAAGAAGGCCUUCGGGUUGUAAAGCACUUUAGUGGGGGAAGAAACAGCUUGGCCACACCAAGCCUUGACGGUACCCCAAGAAUAAGCACCGGCUAACUCUGUGCCAGCAGCCGCGGUAAUACAGAGGGUGCAAGCGUUAAUCGGAUUUACUGGGCGUAAAGGGUGCGUAGGUGGCUAUUUAAGUCGGAUGUGAAAGCCCGGGGCUCAACCUCGGAAUUGCAUUCGAUACUGAGUGGCUAGAGUUCGGUAGAGGGCGGCGGAAUUUCCGGUGUAGCGGUGAAAUGCGUAGAUAUCGGAAGGAACAUCAAUGGCGAAGGCAGCCGCCUGGGCCUGGACUGACACUGAGGCACGAAAGCGUGGGUAGCAAACAGGAUUAGAUACCCUGGUAGUCCACGCCGUAAACGAUGAGAACUUGACGUUGGUUCGUUUUACGAUCGGUGUCGCAGCUAACGCGAUAAGUUCUCGCCUGGGGAUCGGCCGCAAGGUUGAACUCAAGGAAUUGACGGNNGAGAGNGCGAGCGACGACGAGGGAGAGG